GGAGGUGGCAAGCGUUGUUCGGAAUUACUGGGCGUAAAGGGCGCGUAGGCGGGGAGGCAAGUCGGGUGUGAAAUCCCUCGGCUCAACCGAGGAACGGCGCCCGAAACUGCUUCUCUUGAGUCCCGGAGAGGAAGGUGGAAUUCCCGGUGUAGCGGUGAAAUGUGUAGAGAUCGGGAGGAACACCGGUGGCGAAGGCGGCCUUCUGGACGGUGACUGACGCUGAGGCGCGAAAGCGUGGGGAGCAAACGGGAUUAGAUACCCCGGUAGUCCACGCUGUAAACGAUGGGUGCUAGGUGUGGGGGGUAUCGACCCCCCCCGUGCCGAAGCUAACGCAUUAAGCACCCCGCCUGGGGAGUACGGCCGCAAGGUUGAA
rnacentral:rRNA from 1 species